rnacentral:misc_RNA from 1 species
CAAUAAGAGUGUUUAUGGCACUCUUUCAAAAAAUCCAUACCCACCUUGUGUGCAAUGUAAAAAAAAAAAGGAGUUUUCUUGUGGUUUGGGAGUGAGAGUUGUUUUACAACGCUCAUUUUUUUUUUUUCCUCAAGAGACACUUUUUUUUUCAUUUCAUAUACACCUUUCUAUAAGUUUCCUAUUGUCUGAAGUACUUGGAAUAAAUAUAAUUCUAAAAUA